AACUUUAUUAAAAGAUCAUUAUUUUAAUUGCCAAAAUCCAAAGAAGAUUAGUAAUGCCCCUGCACAAGGAUGAUGUACAAAUUCAUAAAGCAUUCCAUAUUUCU
rfam:Otolemur garnettii contig019852, whole genome shotgun sequence.